GAUGAAGAACGCAGCGAAAUGCGAUAAGUAAUGUGAAUUGCAGAAUUCAGUGAAUCAUCGAAUCUUUGAACGCACAUUGCGCCCCUUGGUAUUCCGAGGGGCAUGCCUGUUCGAGCGUCAUUUCAACCCUCAAGCACAGCUUGGUCUUGGGCUUCGCCGCUAACCCGGCGGGUCUUAAAAUCAGUGGCGGCGCCAUCUGGCUCUAAGCGUAGUAAUUCUUCUCGCUAUGGAGUCCUGGUGGAUGCUUGCCAUCAACCCCCAAUUUUUCUAUGGUUGACCUCGGAUCAGGUAGGGAUACCCGCUGAACUUAAGCAUAUCAAUAAGCGGAGGA
rnacentral:misc_RNA from 1 species